GACGAACGCUGGCGGCGUGCUUAACACAUGCAAGUCGAACGAAGUGGCGAACGGGUGAGUAAUACGUGGGUAACCUUCCCUCCUUUUUGCGAUAAGCCUGGGAAACGGGGUCUAACACCUAAUAAAGGGGGAUGGGGUCGCGGCAGAUGAGCUUGUUGGUGGGGUGAUGGCCUACCAAGGCGGUGACGGGUAGCCGGCCUGAGAGGGUGACCGGCCACAUUGAAACGGAGAUACGGCCCAGGCUCGUACGGGAGGCAGAAGUGGGGGAUAUUGCACAAUGGGCGAAAGCCUGAUGCAGCGUCGCCGCGUGGGGGUUGAGGGCUUUCGGGUUGUGAACCUCUUUCGCAAUCGAACGGGUAGGUAAAGAAGAAGCGCCGGCUAACUACGUGCCAGCAGCCGCGGUAAUUC
rnacentral:rRNA from 1 species